rnacentral:lncRNA from 1 species
GACAACCCAAAACAGAAGGUUUUCUGUAAGUACCUGGGCGAGGUUGAGUAGAAAGAAGUUUGAUGUAAGCGUAGAAUUUAUAAAUUUUCAUUGGAGGUUUUGAAAAAUCUGUUGCUCACAGAUCGCAAUGUUUUUUCUUUAUAGGUUCUUCAACAUCUUCUGUGUCUGCUCUAAUUCAGACAGCCACACUAAUUGUCCAGUAUCUACAACGAGGGCUGGGUUUAGACAAAGCCUUUUCAGAAGCAUGCUGGGAAGUGUAUGUCCACUCUCAGCAUUCAGCAGCAAACCAGAAGGUACUGCCAAAUGUUUACAACAAAUUUCUAAGUUGUAACACUCUACUGUAUAGAGAAGGGGGAAAUCAUUUUUAUAUAAGCUAGCAACUUGAAUGACCUGAGAGCGGACCACUGCAUUUUUGCUCUAGAAGAGAUCUAGUGCCAAGUUCUUUUCUGGAAACUAGAUCUAUCAGGGGCAAAAAGAAUAUAACUUGUGGUGUUGGUGCAUUGAAGAAUGCCUUAAGAAUUGCUGGGAAACAGUCAUGUGAACUAUAGAAAAUUAGCUUUGUCUGCCAAUGUAUUUGGUAAUAGCAUUUAUAUUGAUUCCUGUAAACCAUGUGUUUUAUCUCCUACCAGCUUGUGCAGGCCUUGCUGGAGAAACAUGCUUCUUUUUUGCAAGCACGGGAAAACUGGGGAAACUCCAUUCUUGCCCCAGGGCUGUGGCCUGAUUCUGUGCCUUCUGCUCUCUUUGCUACGGAAGAUUCUCACCUCUCUGUUGUUCGAAGUGAUGGGCAGAUUCUGGCAUACUGCCUCAGCAGGAAAAGCAUGAAAACCAGCAGCUGGGCCAGGAGUCAGCCUCUUACUUUGCAAGACUUAGAGAAAAUUAUGCAGUCUUCCAACCCCGAGAACCUAAAAUUCAAUGCAGUACAAAUGGAUGCUUAUUGGAUUGAUGAACCAGAGGUUUUGCCCAUGGCUGUUAAAUUGCUCAUAGAAAGAGCAACCAAUCAGGAUUGGAUGCUCAGAGUUAAAUGGCUUUAUCAUUUAGCCAGGAACAUACCACAGGGGCUUGAGUCAAUACAGAUUCAUUUGGAAGCCAGUGCUGCAUCUCUUAGGAACUUCUACUCAAAUUCUCUCUCAGCUGGUGUUACUAAUGUCUUUAAAAUAUUACAGUCAAAUAUAACAGGUACACACCCACUUUUGAUUUCUAGCUCUUGGCACCACUUUUGAAACUUGUCCUUUGAGUUUAUGGGGAAAAGACUUGUCACAGUUCCCACCAUAAUAGUAAUUUUUAAAAGGCUCAGAAUAUCCAGAUGCAAAUUCUUCUUGUUUGUUUGAAACUAUCCAUUCAUCUUUUAGCAUCUAAAGGAAGCUGAUGUACCUGGGAGUUGGAAGAUUAGACUUAACUCUGCCUGAAAGUAGCUUGUCAGUUUUUGGCUUAUAAUUCACUGUCUGGCCUUUGUUUGAAAACUAGAGGGACUAAGCUUUUAUUUAUCUGAGGUCCUUCCACUUUUUUUUUUUUAAGUACUGAUGAUU